UGUCAAAGGAUGGGAAUCGGACCCACGACCUUCCGCUUACCGGGCAGAUGCCAUGACCACUAGGCUACCCUGGAC
rnacentral:tRNA from 1 species